rnacentral:rRNA from 1 species
CAGCAGCCGCGGUAAUACGUAGGUGGCAAGCGUUGUCCGGAAUUAUUGGGCGUAAAGGGCUCGCAGGCGGUUUCUUAAGUCUGAUGUGAAAGCCCCCGGCUCAACCGGGGAGGGUCAUUGGAAACUGGGAAACUUGAGUGCAGAAGAGGAGAGUGGAAUUCCACGUGUAGCGGUGAAAUGCGUAGAGAUGUGGAGGAACACCAGUGGCGAAGGCGACUCUCUGGUCUGUAACUGACGCUGAGGAGCGAAAGCGUGGGAAGCGAACAGGAUUAGAUACCCCAGUAGUCCCUGUCUCUUAUAC